rnacentral:rRNA from 1 species
UAUACUGCAGUCGAGCGAACAGAAGGGAGCUUGCUCCCGGAUGUUAGCGGCGGACGGGUGAGUAACACGUGGGUAACCUGCCUGUAAGACUGGGAUAACUCCGGGAAACCGGAGCUAAUACCGGAUAGUUCCUUGAACCGCAUGGUUCAAGGAUGAAAGACGGUUUCGGCUGUCACUUACAGAUGGACCCGCGGCGCAUUAGCUAGUUGGUGGGGUAAUGGCUCACCAAGGCGACGAUGCGUAGCCGACCUGAGAGGGUGAUCGGCCACACUGGGACUGAGACACGGCCCAGACUCCUACGGGAGGCAGCAGUAGGGAAUCUUCCGCAAUGGACGAAAGUCUGACGGAGCAACGCCGCGUGAGUGAUGAAGGUUUUCGGAUCGUAAAGCUCUGUUGUUAGGGAAGAACAAGUGCGAGAGUAACUGCUCGCACCUUGACGGUACCUAACCAGAAAGCCACGGCUAACUACGUGCCAGCAGCCGCGGUAAUACGUAGGUGGCAAGCGUUGUCCGGAAUUAUUGGGCGUAAAGGGCUCGCAGGCGGUUUCUUAAGUCUGAUGUGAAAGCCCCCGGCUCAACCGGGGAGGGUCAUUGGAAACUGGGAAACUUGAGUGCAGAAGAGGAGAGUGGAAUUCCACGUGUAGCGGUGAAAUGCGUANNGAUGUGGAGGAACACCAGUGGCGAAGGCGNCUCUCUGGUCUGUAACUGACGCUGAGGAGCGAAAGCGUGGGGAGCGAACA